rnacentral:rRNA from 1 species
UACAGAGGGUGACAGCUGUUACGUCGAUUUAUUGGGUUUAAAGGGUGCGUAGGCGGACUUAUAAGUCAGUGGUGAAAUCUCGUUGCUUAACAACGAACGUGCCAUUGAUACUGUAGGUCUUGAGUACAGAUGCCGUUGGCGGAAUGUGUCAUGUAGCGGUGAAAUGCAUAGAUAUGACACAGAACACCGAUUGCGAAGGCAGCUGACGAAACUGUAACUGACGCUGAGGCACGAAAGCGUGGGGAUCAAACAGG